rnacentral:rRNA from 1 species
AACGAACGCUGGCGGCAGGCCUAACACAUGCAAGUCGAGCGAUCGCAGCAAUGCGGGAGCGGCAGACGGGUGAGCAACACGUGGGAACGUACCCUUCGGUUCGGAAUAACUUGAGGAAACUUAAGCUAAUACCGGAUACGUCCGAGAGGAGAAAGAUUUAUCGCCGAAGGAUCGGCCCGCGUCUGAUUAGCUAGUUGGUGAGGUAAUGGCUCACCAAGGCGACGAUCAGUAGCUGUCUGAGAGGAUGAUCAGCCACAUUGGGACUGAGACACGGCCCAAACUCCUACGGGAGGCAGCAGUGGGGAAUAUUGGACAAUGGGCGCAAGCCUGAUCCAGCCAUGCCGCGUGAGUGAUGAAGGCCUUAGGGUUGUAAAGCUCUUUUACCUGGGAAGAUAAUGACGGUACCAGGAGAAUAAGCCCCGGCUAACUUCGUGCCAGCCGCCGCAGUAACAC